rnacentral:rRNA from 1 species
AUUGAACGCUGGCGGCAGGCUUAACACAUGCAAGUCGAGCGGGGAAGGGUAGCUUGCUACCUGACCUAGCGGCGGACGGGUGAGUAAUGCUUAGGAAUCUGCCUAUUAGUGGGGGACAACAUUCCGAAAGGAAUGCUAAUACCGCAUACGCCCUACGGGGGAAAGCAGGGGAUCUUCGGACCUUGCGCUAAUAGAUGAGCCUAAGUCAGAUUAGCUAGUUGGUGGGGUAAAGGCCUACCAAGGCGACGAUCUGUAGCGGGUCUGAGAGGAUGAUCCGCCACACUGGGACUGAGACACGGCCCAGACUCCUACGGGAGGCAGCAGUGGGGAAUAUUGGACAAUGGGCGAAAGCCUGAUCCAGCCAUGCCGCGUGUGUGAAGAGGCCUUUUGGUUGUAAAGCACUUUAAGCGAGGAGGAGGCUACUUGGAUUAAUACUCUAGGAUAGUGGACGUUACUCGCAGAAUAAGCACCGGCUAACUCUGUGCCAGCCGCCGCGGUAACAC